GUGCGUUGGGGCCUCAGCCUUUAUCUCCACUCUGCGGAGAUUCACGCCUGGAAAACGCUCUUCUGAGAGGAUCUGUGGAGGUCAACCCAGGAGAGAGAAGACAGGACUGAAGCACUGAAAGGGUCCUGCCGUUAAGGGCGCAGGAUUGUAUAGAAUAUAUAAUAGCAGUAGCAGCUCUGUUUACGGAGCAUUAACCUUACGUGGAGUUAUUUCCUGCAUUUCCUCCUUUCGUCUUUACAAGGUAGCCGUUUGGCGUCGUGAGUAUGUGCCAAAUCUACUAGACAUUGGAGAAACAGUAGGAACAACACAUGGUACCGGCACAUGGAUCUUUCAGGAAAACGAAGUAGGUAAUAAACAGGAAAAAGCCCGAGUCUGAUGCUAAGAAGAACAUAAACAGGAUGCUGAGAGAUUGGGUCUCUCCACAUUGCCCCGGCUGCUCUCCAACCCCUGAGUUCAAGUGAUUCACCUCCCUUGGCCUCCCAAAGUACUGGGAUUACAGGCGUGAGCCACCGUGCCUGGCUGAGAAGAUGGAUUUAAGACAUAUUUUGGAGGUAACAUUGUCAGGACUUCCUGAAGGAUUAGAUGUGGAAGGGAAGGAUAAGAAACAGACCAAGGAUAACUUUCAAAUGUAUGCUUAAGCAACUGGAUGGAUAAUGAUGCCAUUGAGUGAGUGAAAAACUUGAUGGAAGUGGAAGAUUCAGAGUUCAUUUCUAUCUAGGUUAAUUUGAGACAUACCAGAGCAUAAGUUAAGUAAGUAAUUGAAUAUUGGAGUGGAGACUUAUUUGUCUACCGAAUUAUUGUUUUCUUUGUCGGACAUACACCUACACUGCAUUCCUCAAAGUAAAAUUUAAGUGUGGCUCUGUGCCUAUGCUCUCCCCAGCGGAAAGUGACCAGAAGAGGUGUGCAGUUUCCAGGCCUGGCCCAUACAGACCUCCAACAGGUGCUCCCCUGUGCUGUUACUCCUUCUGCCAACUGGAAGCAGAUGGUGACCAGGCUCUGGAGAAGGCAAGGCCUGAAGAUGGGAGAUUCCUAAGUGGAGGAGAACUGUGCCUUACUGACCUAAAUAUCCACUCAGUAUUGUUAUGUGAGAAUAAAUAAACUUGUGUUGAC
rnacentral:lncRNA from 10 species